rnacentral:rRNA from 1 species
AACGAACGUUAGCGGCGCGCUUAACACAUGCAAGUCGUGCGAGAAAGGGAGCAAUCCCCGGUAAAGCGGCGCACGGGUGAGUAACACGUAGGUAACGUGCCCCCAGGUGGUGGAUAACCUUCCGAAAGGAGGGCUAAUACAGCAUAAGACCACGGCUUCGAAAGGAGCUGAGGUCAAAGUCGGCCUCUAUUCAUGAGCUGACGCCAGGGGAUCGGCCUGCGGCCCAUCAGGUAGUUGGUAGGGUAAUGGCCUACCAAGCCUAAGACGGGUAGCUGGUCUGAGAGGAUGAUCAGCCACACUGGAACUGAGACACGGUC